GGGCUACUAACUCAAUCGGCAGAGUGCCAUGUUCACAGCGUGGAAGUUCUGGGUUCAAGUCCCGGGUAGCCCACCA
rnacentral:tRNA from 1 species